rnacentral:ncRNA from 1 species
AGAAUCUCUGGAGAAUCCCUUGUAUCAAGGGUGCCGAAGGUGCAAGACUCGCAGGCCGGGUCGAAUCUCUCAGGCAAAAGGACAGAGCGG